rnacentral:rRNA from 1 species
CCCUUAGACGUUCUGGGCCGCACGCGCGCUACACUGACGAAGGCAACGAGCUUUCCUUUACCGAAAGGUACGGGUAAUCUUUUGAAACUUCGUCGUGCUGGGGAUAGAUCCUUGCAAUUUUUGAUCUUAAACGAGGAAUUCCUAGUAAGCGCAAGUCAUCAACUUGCGUUGAUUACGUCCCUGCCCUUUGUACACACCGCCCGUCGCUACUACCGAUUGAUUGGUUUAGUGAGGCCUUCGGAUCCGCGACUCGUUUUGUGGAGAAGUUGGACAAACUCAGUCAUUUAGAGGAAGUAAAAGUCGUAACA